rnacentral:misc_RNA from 1 species
UAGAUCAGCUCCUCGCCCAUGAACUUCACGAUCUGAUCGGCGCCGACGUGGAUGAGCGCGUGGAUCUCGGCCCGGCGCGCGAUGUCGCCGAGCCGGACCGCGACCUCGUUCACC